GCCUGGAGGCCGUGCUGGCUGUGGCACAUUUGCCUCAAGUGUCCCCAAUUCUCUGUCUCUAGGAAUGGAGCUCGAGCCUUGAACGGGGCCUCCCCCCAGCACCUCCCAUCCUGGCCUGAGGGGGCGGAAAGCGGGCCGCGAAGGUCGAGGAGGCGUUAUCCCAUACUACAAGAGAAGAAAUUGAUGUUCUGAGUGGUUAAAGUAAUUUGCUCAAAGUUCUACAGCGAGAAAGCGAUCGAGCUGAGAUUCAGCUUCAGAUGUGCAGAGUUCCAAAGCUCAUUACCAUCUGACUCCAUCCCACCUACAAAACCAUGUAUCAUCGUCUCAGUGUGACACAGACUGGUAUCAACCAGGAGGACAACUGUGUCAUUUAGAGUUUU